rnacentral:lncRNA from 1 species
AAAAAAAAACCUUUAAAUUUUUAUUUUUUAUUUUUUAUAGAGAUGAGGUCUUACCAUGUUGGCCAGGCUGGUCUCGAACUCCUGGCCUCAAGCGAUCCUCCCAUCCCAGUCUCCCAAUGCACUAGGAUGACAGAUAUGAGCCACCACACCUGGCCCAUGUUCCCUCUGCUUUAACCUUUACUAGGAAAUGAAUCCCCCUUUUGUUCUCUGUUUCUGCUUUCCCCACCCCUUUUCUGUCUAUAAAACUAAAACCUUCUGCUUGGCUCAUGGGAACACUUAUUACAUUUUACAGAAUGAGGUGUUGCUCUAUUCUAGAAUCACAAAUAAAUGCCAA